AUGGCACCAAACAUGAAGAAGGAAGCUCCUGGCCCUCCCAAAGCCGAAGCCAAAGCAAAGACGGUGAAGGCCAAGAAGGCAGUGCUAAAAAGCAUCCACAGCCACAAAAGAAAAGAAGAUCCGUACAUCAUCCGCCUUUCAGUGGCCACAGACACUGCAGUUCUGGAGGCAGCCCAGAUAUCCUUGGAAGAGCCCCCAGGGGAACCAAGCUUGACCACUAUGCCAUUAUCAAGUUCCCCCUGACCACUGAGUCUGCCAUGAACAAGACAGAAAACAACACACUUGUGUUCAUUGUGGAUGUCAAAGCCAACAAGCACCAGAUCAAACAGGCUGUGAAGAAGCUCUGUGACAUUGAUGUGGCCAAGGUCAACACCCUGAUCAGGCCUGAUGGAGAGAAGAGGGCAUAUGUUCGACUGGUUCCUGGUUAUGAUGCUUUGGAUGUUGCCAAAAAAAUUGGGAUCAUCUAAACGGAGUCCAACUGGCUAAUUCUAAAUAUAUAUACCUUUUCACC